AACGCAUAUUGCGCUCUCUGGUAUUCCGGAGAGCAUGCUUGUUUGAGUAUCAGUAAACACCUCAACUCCCUUUUCUUUUUUGAAAUGGGAGCUGGACUUGAGUGAUCCCAACACUUUUCUCACUGGAAAGUGGCGGGUCACUUGAAAUGCAGGUGCAGCUGGACUUUUCUCUGAGCUAUAAGCAUAUCUAUUUAGUCUGCCUAAAAAACAGAUUAUUACCUUUGCUGCAGCUAACAUAAAGGAGAUGAGUUCUUGUGCUGACUGAUGCAGGAUUCACAGAGACAGCUUUGCGGCUGACUUUGUAAACUCGAUCUCAAAUCAAGUAAGACUACCCGCUGAACUUAA
rnacentral:misc_RNA from 1 species